rnacentral:lncRNA from 1 species
UGACGAUAUACUAUAUUGACACAUUUCUUGCAUGGACACUUUAUCUGACUAGCACUGUCAGUCUUAUAUCGUGCAAACUCAAUAAAAUCUCGAACAUAUUUUUUAUAUUCAGACAAAAAUAUAUUUCUAACAUUCAUCCAAUUUUUAUUGAUAUCCAUCUAAUAAUAAAUAUAAAAAUUAUUAAUAAUAAAAAAAUUUUCAUUAGUAUUCAUCCGAAUCGGAUCCCGACC